rnacentral:rRNA from 1 species
UAGCCGUAAACGAUACUCGCUAGGUGUCGGCCACGGUGCGACCGUUGUCGGUGCCGUAGGGAAGCCGUGAAGCGAGCCACCUGGGAAGUACGGCCGCAAGGCUGAAACUUAAAGGAAUUGGCGGGGAAGCACCACAACGGGUGGAGCUUGCGGUUUAAUUGGAUUCAACGCCGGAAAUCUUACCGGGACCGACAGCAACAUGAAGGCCAGGCUGAAGACUUUGCCGGAUUAGCUGAGAGGAGGUGCAUGGCGUAGUCGUGU